rnacentral:rRNA from 1 species
UACGGGGGGGGUAAGCGUUGUUCGGAAUUACUGGGCGUAAAGGGCUCGUAGGCGGCCAACUAAGUCGGACGUGAAAUCCCCAGGCUCAACCUGGGAACUGCGUCCGAUACUGGAUGGCUUGAAUCCGGGAGAGGGAUGCAGAAUUCCAGGUGUAGCGGUGAAAUGCGUAGAUAUCUGGAGGAAUACCGGUGGCGAAGGCGGGUCUCUGGGCAGUAACUGACGCUGAGGAGCGAAAGCGUGGGGAGCGAACAGG